UCUGUAAUUUUUUCCUUGUUUUCUUUCUGUGCCGGCUUAGUUUGUCACUGUAUGACACCUCUUCAUUUUUCACAGCUAUCUGAAGAUCAUCUUCUACACUUUGCGUACCUUGAUUGUUAUCUAGUGGUGGAAGUAAACAUAGUGAUGUCUGUGCCAAGGGUCUCAGCAUGCUGACAGAGCUCCCUGUGUCUAGUCUUUAGGUGUUGCAGAUCUUCAAUGACAGUGCAGUCUGAAUCAGCAGAACAUUUGGCAUCUUCUUCUACAUCUGCAUUUUUAUCUUCAGCACAGGUCAACGCUGAACUGGCUUGAAACACUGAGAAACCAGCUGGAGCAGUCUCAACUAAACCUAACUCUAAACUGCCACCAGCCUGCCCCUCAUUGUUUACUGGGCCAUCUGUUUCACUAGGGCUGACAUAAGCCUGACUGCAGCUGAGUUGUGUCUCUCCAUUGUUUUCUCUUUGCUUGACUUGUUUGGUUGGUGUGUCUAGUGUCUGAGGAUGACAUUUCACAAAGGUUGAUACAGUGGAAAUGACUGUCUCUUCAGAGCUUUCAACUGCCUCUGUGCUUGUCAGAUUGUUCAGAGUGUCUGUAUUGGUCUGAGACCAU